GAACACUUUCAACCAGAUCCAUUACAUGGCAAACCAGAACAUGGACAACAAGAAACCAAGAACAGAUUUAGACAUAUGAAAGGUGCUUGCUUCAUUUACUACAAUAAUAUGAAACUACAGUAGAAAAUAUGUGUGUGUGUACAUAUAUAUAAACACAUCCACACAGAAUAUAAUACAUAGCCAAAAACUGGGCCAAAUGUCUUGAGCCUGUUCUCUACAACUUAGCUCCCCAAGGAGAUGCAAUCAGCCAAGAAGCAGACUUAUUAACCAUAGAACAUGCACUCUUAAUAGUUAUGUCAAAUGACACUACUGUAAAAAUUAUAGAACAUUUCACAAACGGCUCUCCUUGUCAGAUAAAAAAUAUGGUAUCCCGCCAGCUUGAGAUCGAUGUAGGCAUUAAGUUCCCAUAGCAUCUGCAAAUUUAUCAUAUGAAAAUUUAAGCAAUGCAUUAGAAACCAAAAGAGUGAUUUAUAAACAAAAGCAAUGCUCACCCACAGAUUCUUCUUCCCAAAGAGCAGAAAAACGUUCUCAUAGAAUCUGAUAUCAAUUUUUAUGGGUCCAUUGGUAAUAGUUUUCUACUUUCUGUUUUAAGAAAUUGCCAAAAAACUCAAAAUGGAACACUUUGUCAUUUGGGUUCACGAAAUUGAACAUGAAGCCUACAUGUAUUUCCCGGACAUAUGAACAUGGUCUUGGCAGGGAAUUUUCAAUGAUAGCUUGAAAAAUGCCAGAUAAGGCAUAUCUCAUGAUUCCAAAAACUUUCUUCUGCUGCAUGACAACUUUAAUCCUGAAGAAUUCCAAAAUGGAUAAUUAUGGAACUUUUUUUUUCAAUUAAAGUGCAUAUCUAAUUACAGAAACUUGUUUGUUGACUUCAAAUACGCAAUGACCAGGUCAGCUUUCUUAAUUCUCUUUCAACUGACAAAAACUUCUUGUGAAGGGCAAAUAUGCAAAGACGAAAACAGUUACGAAAACACGGAUUGUAUUUGAGGGCUCAAUGGCUACACUAGAUAAAGAAGAUCAGGGCAAAUACAAAGUAAAACCAUCAGAUGUGAAGUAAGGAAAAGGGCAAGAAAGGAAAGGAUUGAAGGGAAGGAAAAGGCGGGAACGGAAUUAAAGCUCCCCUUCUAUCCAGGUACUUGGUUGUGGAAAGGAAAGGAACGGAAGGAAAGGGAGGAAUGAAGGAAAUAAGCACGUAAGGAACAAGGAGAAAAAGUGAGUCCAAAUCCAAUGUGAUAAAACUCGUUACUCCAUUUUCUUACAUUUCUCUCAACUUUUGAAAAGAAAAAUCAGUGGUUUUCUUUACAUGGCCAACUCCAUAUUCAUUCCCUCCAACGAGGUCUCAUGAACUAAUCAUGUAGCUAACUCCCUCACUUUUCCUUCCAUAGCUUCCCUUAAAUUCCAUUUCCCUCCAACCAAAUGGAAUGAAAAUUCCAAGUCUCAGCCUAAGAAAAUUUGUCAACAGAAGGUAACCAUUUGUUUUAACUAGUUCAAUAAAUUAUUAUUACUAAUACUGGGUAUUAUAUUUCCGGUGCCUUAUUUGUUCUCAAUAAUGCUUCUGAUGGGCGAACAGGACAGGACAAGACAAGCCUUCUCAAGAAAGCUAAUAACUUUAAUGUUAAGAUAGAAGAAAUAAAAUUCAAGAAACCAAAUGCAGUUAUGGAUUUAGAAAUUGCUGCUCUAUAUACUUGUUAAAAAAUUUGAAACCAGACACUUCAAUCAUCCAGAAAAGAAAGUUGAAUAGCUUACCAUCUUCGCUUGAACUGUAUUCCCUGUCAGUCUGUACUUGCAAUGGCUGCUUAAGGUCAGAUGAUUCACACUCAUGCAAGGGCUGGCUUUCUGAUGAGGGACAAUACUGGGGAACAGAAAACGAAAACCUGCUGGUUGUCUGCUUCUUAGAUGCUGAAGAUUCAGCAGUAGAGCAUAAGUCUUCAUCUGUUCUAGAGGUGCCUUCUAUGCCAUUAACUUUAAGCAGUUUAUCUCGAUGUGGUCUUUCCUCUUCCACAUACUUUGAUCUCUUCUUAUGAGCUGGACUGUUCUUGGGAUUUUGAAUUGUUGGUACCUUCUGAUCAUUAGAUGAAAUGGUGGGACAAGGAGCCUUUUCUUUUAACAUAGCCUUUGGAAUGGCCAAAUUUUCAUUACCAUCAGUGUUAUCAACAACAACUUCACUUGUUCCACCUGAAAUUGAAGCCCUUGCAGCUGCUUCCAUUUCCCACAUCUUGAAUAUGGCUUCAGUCAGACGUUCUCUGGCUAAAUCUAAUUCAAUUAUAGGUUUUGGGUAGUUUUGUCCCAAUUCCACCCCUGCAGCUUUAAGCACAGUAAGAGGUGCGUCCCAAGGAUGAUGGAUCCAUUCAGUUGGCAUUCUGGCAAGCUCAGGCAGCCAGUGUCUCACAUAUUCACCCUCUGGGUCAAAUUUUGAGCCUUGAAUCUCUGGACUAUCCAAACGUUCAAGCUCAUGGCCAUCAGGUAAGCUUCCAGAUAUGUACUGCCAACCAAGGAUGUCACUUUCCAAGUCUGCAUCCAAAAGUGUGUCCCAAAAAUACUUCAUCCCCCAUCUCCAUGGAAGAAGCAAAACUUUUACAGCAAAACUUGACACAAUCACUCUAAUUCUAUUAUGUAUCCAACCAGUUGCCCAAAGCUCACGCAUUCCUGCAUCAACUAGGGGAUAACCAGUUCGUCCCUGUCUCCAAGCCUUAAAAUGGGCCUGGUUGACAUCCCAGGGAAAGUACUUUAAGUUGCUCAGCAAUGAUCUCUCAUGAGUGAAUGGAAAGUUAAAACAAAGGUAUCGGGAAUAUUCCCUUAGCCCAAUGGAUCUAAGAAACAGAGUCACGCUUUCUUUCCCUAUUGAGUUCCCUUCUUUUGCCCACAGCAACUGUUUCAUUCGCACACAUUGGAAAACUUUCCUCACACUCAGUUCUCCAAAAUGAAGAUAUGGGGACAAAAGUGAGCUGGAGUUCACACCAACCUUUAGCCUAUUCUUUGAGUAGUCAAUUAGAUGAUGUUCAACAAAUUCAGCCAGUGCCUUGUCAGCAUUGCUCCAACCUGGUGACCAUCCCCUUCCUAGUAAGGAAUUGCUAGAUUUUUCUGUUUCAUCUUCAAGAUUUAAUUCCUCAACUGAGCAUUUCUCAACUUUUCCUGCAGUUGCCAGUAAUCGCCAUGGAGGAAGAUGUGAAACAGGUUCCAUUUGCAUGUGCAAGCACUUGUCCCAAUACGAGUCAAAUGUCGUAAAAGCUUGUCCACUUCCAUUAUAUAUUUCCCAUGGUUCAUACAACAAAUCCCCAUUAUAGCUUUGCACAGAAAUGCCAAGCUCCACCAGUUUUUCUUUGAUGCUGUGAUCACGAACAAGAGAUACUGGAUCAUAGAGAUGAUUGAAUACAACUCUUGUUGCUCCAAUAGCAUUGAUGCAAUCCAAAAGAGCAGCGAGAGUACUAUGGGUUUUGAUCAAGACAAGUUCAGCCCCAAGAGAUUUCAGGGAGUGUCCCAAGUGGGCAAGAGACUGCUUCAGCCACCACCUCGAUACUCUACCUGGGUAGAAUUGUCCUUCUUCUUGAGGACACCAUAUGAAGAUCGGAAAUACACUACCAUCCCUGGCUGAAGCAGCCAAUGCAGGAUUGUCCUCAAUUCUAAGAUCCCUCCUAAACCAAACAAUGGUCUUAUUGCUGCCCAUAUUGUAAUAACUCAGAUCUUUGAGGAUCACACUGGAGUUCAAAUCUAAUGAUGGUUGCACCUGUUCCUCCACAUAUUAGCUUCAAUUUAGAACUAAAAACAUAUAAAAGGCUUCUUGUUGAUCACAGUGCUUAAUCAAAUAAAUAAAUGCUGUCAGUUUCAUGAAGCAACUCACUUCAAAAACAAGGGACCCAUAGAGCAGAAAACCUGCGAAUAUCUAGAAUGGCAACAGGAAGCUCCAGCCCAAGACAACAGGACCAUAAAUUAGGAAUAACCAGUUCAGUUAAUAAUAGUGAAAUUUGGCUGCUAUCCCCAACCACCCAAACAGCAAAGCCUACUAAACUUUACUCUACCCUCUGUUACACCUCCGUAUACGUCUUGGAAUCCCAACUUCUACAAGUUGCCGCCACAAGCAAUGAACAUAUUGAAGAACACCUUUAUAUACACUCCCCCUAAAAAAAAAAAAAGAGUAAACCGUUCGUGUACCUUCUUGAUUCGCCUAAAGUUUGGUCAACUAACUGUAGUUUAGCUCUACAAACACAAAAAGAAAACCACGAUACAUCAUGUGAAUAUAAGAACACAGAUCUGGUACAGGCACCAAAUGAUUCCUUAAUAAUUUACAUUAAAGAAUGAUACCACAAACAAAAGGAGAUCAGAACCCAAUAAAGAAACCAAACAUCACUCGAGAAACAGAAACGAUCACAAAAAAGAAAGUAUUCCAACUGUACCCGGUUCUCGUUCGAGGUUGAUUAUGCAAGAAGAUAAAUGAUUUACCCCUACCCAGUUAGGGCAAGAGCAGAAUAGGUGCCAACCCAGUAGAUAUUGGUCAAAACGAUCCAUUGUACAGUAGUCGUAAUGUAGUGCUUUGGAAAAUUUUGGCGUUGGAUUGAAGUUGGAAUUGUCAUUAUGUGAUUGAGUGGGGUGUUGAUAUAUUUACCUGAGGAUCACGUGGCUAUGGUGAAAAUGAUGGUGGUGGUGGGCCUUAUCUUGUUUACUUUUGUGGAUCCAUGUAGUAAAAAUUGAAAAGAAAGAAGAUGAAAUCGUGAUAAGGGCCUCUUUCUCCUCAAUAUGGUGCGUAUCCGACAGGGAGACAGAGACUGCUCUCAAUAUUAGACUUUUUCCAGAGGAUUCAUUCUUGCUGCUUCUAAACUUUGCCAGUUUAGAAAAACUCCAAAAGAGACUCCUUUUAAGCAUAUUCUGUCGAUGCCAAUGAAAUUUCUGGCUUGGAUCAUGUAAAAUCUAGCACAAACUUGACUACAAAUUAAGCUUCAACCCUAGAAUUUUCCCCUGCCCACGAUUCUUCUAUCUUCCCAGGUUCGCCUUUACGCCAAAAAUUUUUAAAAAAUCCCUCUUC
rnacentral:misc_RNA from 1 species